rnacentral:lncRNA from 1 species
UACGAGGUUCUUAGAGACGGACUCCACGUCGAGAAGUUCUAAGACCUUGGUGUUAUUAACUUCUCAAAGAUUGUUUUUUCCUUCUCUACUGUUCUUCGCCUAUUUCUUUCAGUAUUUCCUUUCUUCGGUGUGUAAUUGUAAAGAUACGUAUAAAUAUACAGGAAUGUUCCUGUAAUUGUCAUCUAUACUACCAUUAUGGUCAUGAGCCACUCAUCAAAAUAGUCGAUAAAAUAACGGUAUAAUAAUUGCAUCCAGUUCUAAUUUAUAAUAAUCUAAACGGUUGAACCACGUAUCAUUAGACCUACUAGUAGCUAGAGCCUUUCUUAAUCCUCAAUCUUCAUGACCACGUCCUCCGAUGAUGACGAGAUCUUCACGCAUUUCGGCAGUUCCAGUCGUUCCCCCAAAGCCUCCCUGUCCCUGCAGGGAACAACCAUUAGAACUGAAUAUAGCAUUGAACACCCUGAAUCAAUUAUCCAUUUAACAACAUGCUGUAGAUUGGAGUGUGGCAGUAAACGAGUUACCUUUUUCCGCAAACAAACUCGUACACAUGCCUGUUAAUAUAAAUGAAAUGACAAUUAGUAAUUUGUCACGAAAAAUUAUUUGCCUAUUAAUAUCGAAACGAGAUCGCAUGAACACAAACCCAACUACACACAACCAUCUCCCGCAUGCUCUUGUUGUUGCGUGAUAUGACCUACCAAGCCUUAAAUCUUUUUCAACAUUUACUCUUAUGAUAAUACCUAGUUGGUUAGUCAUGUCAAAGUUGGGUUAGGCAUUUUCCUAUCUGUCUCCACGUGCUCUUCUCAUCAAGUAAGGUUUCCACAAACCGAAUCGGAAUGAUAGAAAUAUAAAAUUUUCAAAAAUUUUGAACUUGAACACUCAUUGUAUCAACGAAUUAUUUAUAUACUUGUAAAAAAUCCAUUAUUUAUAUAGAGUCAAGAUAGUAUUUGAAUUGGCUCAUGAACUAUCUAAUCAAGUUAGUACUUGAGUUGACUCACAUAAUCUAACUUAUAACCGAGUCACCUGACGAACUCAUCGAGUUAAAAUAAUGUUGUGGAUCCAAACCGAGCCACUCGAAAUGAUUAAAAUGUUAACAUUUUCCAUUCCUAUCAUUUCAACACUUUCCAAAAAAGAAAAGGACAAUUUGCUUAAUCGGAUAGGGCCACGAGCCCGCCACACGCCGCUACACAUGUCAACUGUUCAUCCGUCCACUCAAAACUCCAUCCGACGGCCUAAAACGCAUCUCAAUCCACUCUGGAACCCUCUUCUUCCCCAGCAUAAAUCUACUGCUUCCCCCGGAAAUGAUUUUUCCUGCACCUUUCAAUCUCCAUUUCCAUAGCUUCGAAAUCUCUCUCAGUUCUUAGUAAUCACUCAACCAAUCAUGUUUCUCAGAACUUCUCCUAGCUUCUCCAUCACAGCCAAGCACGGCGACAGCUUGUUCGCCGGCCACGGCGGCUUCAGUGCUGCUGCGUCUCCGAUUUCAGCUCAGGGAAGGGAGAGGAGGAGUAGCUCUCUGGUGGCUUCUGCUGCCGUUGGCGAAGUCAACUCAGCGUUGACUGGAAUCGUGUUCAAGCCGUUCGAGGAAGUGAAGAGGGAAGAGUUUAUGGUCCCGAUCUCUCCACAGGUUUCGAUCGCUCGUCAGCUGUACGUUGAUGAGUGCGAAUCUGCGAUCAACGAGCAGAUCAAGUGAGUUUCGAAUUUCUUUGAGCUCUGAUUUUGAAUUUUCUGGUGCUGGAAGAAUCUCGAUUAAGUAUACUGUUUGGUUUGCUGUUUGGAUGAUACAGUGUGGAGUACAACGCUUCGUACAUAUACCAUUCGCUGUACGCGUACUUUGACAGGGACAACGUUGCUCUCAAAGGCUUCGCCAAGUAUAAUACUAUUCAUUUGUGAUUCUGAAUCUUGUUGAGUAACUUGUUCAUAUUUGGGUCAUUACGGUUUGAGCUAAUGGUUUCUGGAAUCAGUUUUUUCAAGGAAUCUAGUGAAGAAGAAAGGGGACAUGCUGAAAAGCUGAUGGAGUAUCAGGUACUUCUCCAAAAUCCACACUUUCAGCUUCUCUGAAUCUAAUGAAUUUCAUCUAUGAAGAAUUAUUCUGUUUAGGAAUGACAUAUAGAUGAGAAACCAAAUAUGAAUCUCUCUAUAAGAUGCAUCAGUUCUUCACAAUUUAUCAAAGUCUUUGAAAUUCCUGCUUAUCAUAUCUUGUUACUCCCAAUAUUAACAAAAGUGCGUGAAGUUAAACUCAUUUUGAUUUACUGCUGUGUUCAUGUGGAAACAGAAUGUUCGUGGAGGGAGAGUGAAGCUACACUCUAUUCUGAUGCCUCCUUCUGAAUUCGAGCAUGUCGAGAAGGGAGAUGCUUUGUACGGUAUGUCAUUUGAACCUCUUGUUCGAGCAAUUAACUUUCAGACCUUUCUAAUAUCGAUCGGUUUCCUUGUGAUCCAGCAAUGGAACUCGCACUGUCCCUGGAGAAACUGGUGAAUGAGAAGCUUCUGAGCUUGCACUCUGUAAGUUGCUCAUCCUGGCCUUUCUAUUUGAAAACUGUUGUUUCCUUAUUGCAUUAACGAUCUUUGGCUAUCUAUUGUUAUCACCAACAGGUGGCAUCCAAGAACAACGACCCACAAAUGGCUGAAUUUGUCGAAAGAGAGUUUCUGAACGAACAGGUAUGCUCCCAUUUCUGGAAUUUAAGCUCCACGGGGGACCUUUCAUCUGUCCCCUACCCUUCAAUGAUGAAGACAAACUAACAGAAACCAUAGAGUGAAAGAGAAAGAUCACAUCUACAGUAUCUUUGCUUAAUUAUAGUAAUCGUUUCAGCAUCGAGACAAAUCUGUUCUUUGAAAGCUACUUAGUUUUGUUUUUUGCGUGAUCGUUAGGUGGAAGCCAUCAAGAAAAUAUCAGACUACGUCACCCAGUUGAGGCUGGUUGGCAAAGGCCACGGUAUUACUUUCAUGCCAUCCAUUAAUUAAAAAUUGAAUCUUUUCAUUAGGGUUCAUGUUUGAUUGUUGCUUGGACUCUUUUACAGGAGUUUGGCACUUUGACCAGAUGCUUCUCAACGAAGCUUGAUGCCCGCUAAUGAUGCUGAAAGUUUAUAUAUAGUUUUUACUUAGUGGAAGAUUCUUCUGAACUAUGUACUAGAUCAACAUGGAAAGUGUUAAUGGUUUUCUCUUCUGCUGUGUUCCUAUAAAUAAAGCUGAUAGCUACUGGUAGUUCGUGUUGAUGAUGAAAUCUUCUGCAAUUUCCAACUCUGUCCCAACCUUGAAGAACUUGUAACUGGUUAUAUGUAUCGAUUAUGAACUUUUGGAUGUAUCACUUAUCGAAAUUAUCAAGUGAAGUGAAAUGUGAUCUGUUUGGCUCAUUCCCUCGAUUAGGAACAACUUAUCGAGUAUCGACUCCUACUCCAAUUUGUGACUCUAUGAACCUCCGAUUCGAUUGAUUGGUCAAGUAAUUAACUCGACAUAUCCAACUUACCUUUAGACUCUUACGUCAAGCGAAUUGUGAUCUGACUCACUAAAUUGUUCAAAUAGUAACGUCCGUACUUUAAUUUGUGACUCGAUGAAUCUUAAACUCGUAGAUUAUCCAACUCAGCUGACCUUUAAUGGCAUUUUUCUACUUUUCACCCCUCAUCAUUUCGGUUCUGGUUAUUCACACGAACAAAUCUUGUUCAUCAUCCAUACGGAAUCACAAACAAGAACCUCCAACCCAGAAGACGAUUUUCCAUAACCAGAAGCAAUCAAUUGCCGAAUCAAACGAACGAAGAACACCCAAAAUUUCGACCUCCACUGGAUAUUUACAACGUUUCUGCAUAAAGCUUUAUUCUUUCCCCACCAACCUCGAUCGAAUCAAACACAAACAGGCCUCAAACAAGAUCUCCAACCAGGAACCUUCUUCCUCGACGAUCGGCUCCCGCCACGACGUCGUCCAGGCGAACAAUUAACAGAAUGCAGCAUCUCCCACAUCACCUGAAUAUCCGUAUACUCCCCACAUGACUCCAUAUCCUUAUGUAGCGCCACCAACGCCCCUCGUUGCUUCCUUCCUGAAAACCCAUCAAUCAAAUCAAUCAAACCAAUCGAAUUCAGUUAAAGUGAAGAAAAAAAACUUUUUUUAUACCUCUGGUGGAUCUGGGGCUGGUGGGUUUUGGUUUGAGCGAUCGGACGGCGGAAGUGAGCUUGAGGAUCGCAUGCUUGGUGGAAGAGAAAGAGUUGCGCUUCAAGAGGAGGAGCCUCUGCUUCCAACGAGUGUUCAUGGCGGAAUAUUUGGAUUUUUUGGGGGUUGUGAUGAUGAUGAAGGGAAUUAAUAACGUUCUUAUUAUAUACGAUUGCCGUUUCGUGAUUAAAUGAUGAUUAAGAAUAUUUUUGUAGGCUAAUUAUGGAUGUUUUGUAGGACACGCCGCUAACGGACGUUCGGUCCGACACUUCAGCCUCCUGAACGUGUCCUCAUGUUCUUAUCUACCACUACUGCUCGGUUAAUUAAUCAAACUAAAAUUAUAUUAGGCAAUAAAUAAGGUAGAAUUUGAACUAAACGUGGUUAUUAUAAACAAUGAGUCAAAGUUGGAUUAGAAAUAAGAAAAUAAUACACACCGUAAGACAUCUCAUGCUCAAUACAAGUAAGAUAAUUAGUUGCGUGGUUGUUCUCUCAAUAAAUAUGAAUAAACUCGAUCUCACACGGCCUAUUCCAUCAAAUCAUGAAUAUGAUUCACAUUAUAUGUCGUUCUUUAAUGAAAGGGAUGUUGAGGUAGCUAUCACAAUUGUUUUAGAUGUUGGACUAGGGAAGUUAGUGAAAGGGUAUUUGGUCCCAAUUGUUUAAAAUGAGUGAUGAUACUAGAAUUGUAAUUGAACUGUCUUGAUUGUUCGUUCAUGAUAAAAAAAAGUAUGAACUUGUAUAAUACAUUAUCCUCUACAUAUAUAUAAUCAACUUCAAUCGCCUACCUUCCUCUUGUUAAUCAUCAUUUAUUUGAUGAAUAGAAAGCCGUCAACCAAAAUCACAGUGACACACAAAUCAUGACACACCCUCUGUUAUAAUUACGCUUUUCGACUCGAUCAUUUCUUUUAAACAUUAACUCCUUAGGCAUCUAGACGAGCUUUGAUACACCAUGGAUGAUGUUUUGACUUGUUCUAAUUAAUUAGUAUUAAUGAUUUUACUAUUGUUUUGUUAAUUGAUGUUAGUGGGGGGGGGGGGGGAAAAAUUGGGGGGAGACAAAAAUUUUUUUGGGGGAUGUAAAAACAAUCAAAGUAAACAACACACAAUUUUUUGGGAGCAUGUAAAAUUCAGCUAGUGAAAUCACCAAAUAUUCGAAGGGCGCGUGCUCGUGUGGAAUUUGGCAGGAGUGGGGCCCAAAAGGGUCAACCGAUUUUUGUUAGGCGUUUCUGUCAUCGCUUUCUGUUUGUCGACUCUCACUCACUUCUCCACACUUGGAUCAAUUCUGAUUGGCUUCAUGAAACCUUAAUCAGAUAGAAAAAUAAAGGUCAAAUAUUAAUUGUCCUAUAAAUUUGAAAUGAGUUAUCAAACAAUUUUGUAACUUUUAAUUCGAUAUAAAUUCAUCUUAUUUUUUCCUUCUCUAUUACGUAGUAGUCCUAUUUUACCAACAUGCAUAUCAAAUCGAAAAUAUUUGAUAUAUAUAUUGAAAAUGGCUAAAAAAUCAUAUUUCAUUAUAAUACCAAUAUAAAUAAUGAUUAAAUGAAGUUAAAAAUAACUUUUACUCGAUGUUAUGUUAACGUUAAGUAAAAUAUUUUUUAACUUUAUUUGGCUAUUAUUUAAAAAGGUUAACAUGAUGAAAUCUCAAAUUUUUGUCAUUCCCAACAUACUUGAUAAUAUUAACUUAUUUAAAAAAUUUCAAUUAUAAUGUCAAAUAUUAGCCAUUUUAACAUUAAAAUUCUAAAUUGAAGUAAUCCUCUUUAAUCCAAGUUGCAUGAAUUUUGAUUGGCUUUAUAAAAAUAUAAAAGUGCAUUUGUAAGAAGAGAUCAACAAGACUCGAGAUACAAUUGUAAAAGUGUUUCCAUCUCUUAGAUCAGACUCACCACGUAGAGAACUAUUACCCCCUAAUAAAUUUGAGUCUAAAAGAGGUUAAUAAUUGAUAUACUAGAUUGGUCCAAAAUGGUGAUAACUGAUUUUCCAUAAUGAAGGAGAAAUCAACUACAGAACCUCUGUGCAUCUGUACACUUACAAAGUCACAAACUACAGAGAGCUUAUCAAUCAGUCCAAAGGGUAAAUGAAUCCUAUUCAAUCGUGAACAAUGGCGUGGAUUAGAAUCGACGCCUCAUCAUUUGCUCAGAUCAACAUCUUCUGUACCCAAACAAUGAAAGAAACCAAACUCAAAUUUGCAGCAAACAAAAAACAAAACAAGAAAACAGAGCAUACCUGGGAGAGAUUUGGGAAUGUGGGAAACAAUGUUCUCGAUUAUCCCGCCGUUUCCUCCGCCUCCGCGUUCCUUCUCUGCCAGCGGCGCAUCCUCUGAGAAAGCUCCCCGGCGAUGAUCCUUAUCUUCUUCCGGAGAUGAGGCUCUUGGGCUGAGAGGAGCAACCAAGUUGGCAAGGAGAUUGUUAAAGAUCCCACCUUUCUUCUCUUCGUCUUUGCUCUCCACUACUACUGGAUCCGCCGCCGCCGUAGGUUGCUGUUCUUCCUCACGGCCGUGAUCUUGUAGUACAUCGUCGGUUGGGUAGAUAUCAGGAGUUCCCAUUGCACAGCCUUCCAUUUUUUUUUGUUUCUCUGAACUUUGAUUUCCUCCAAAUCUUGAGCCCCAGCAAUUCAAGAGCUUUUGAGAUUUUGAGGGACAGGCGUCUGCUAUCUAUAAGAUGAGUAUCACAGUAAAGCUUUACACGUAGUUCAUGGCUAUUCGUUUGAUGAUGAAAGAGCCAGUAAGCGCACGACACCAUAUUACCAGUCGUUGCUGCUUUCCAUGGGUCGGUGGAAAUCUUUUAAUUCUUUUAGAUAUUUUUAGCCUCAUCGGGGUUUGGGCAUGACGACGGUGGCCGAUGGUCUAGCAUUGAAGUUCUGCAACUUCAAUUGAAUACUAAGAUAAAUCCAGUUCUUCGAGACAUCCAAGACUGAAGAGAGCAGAUGAUAUAUCUCCCGGCAUGUCUUCCCCGCUCAAGUCGAGUCCAACAACAAGACCAAGGCCACGAGCAUCACAUCUGAUACGAGGCCAAUCACAACAAUCCGUGCUCGCAUCACAACAGUUUGGCAGAGUUUAUAAAAGAAGCCAUAAUGAAACCUUCCAUGCCACCGAGGAUGGAGCUCUGCGUGAAAAAAGCCUAGGCUAGUGCCAAUGUUGUUAGAUACAUGCCAAACCUCCAUUGUUCUUCGUUUGCGACAAGCAUCAGGAAGACAUGAUCAUUGCCAUCAUAACAUGUUUACAUAAGGAAACAUGGCAUAAGAAAUUGCAGUGGUGACAUGGCAGCUAUAUCUUUCUUUGCCUUGGACAAUUAUUCUAGUCUUUCACAAAGGCGGCAGUUUCUACCAAAGGGGCACAAGCACAAGGUAAAAUUAAUAGCAACGAAGCACAAUCUGCAAGACAAUGAUGGAAAAAUAAGAAAAACACAGAAGUCUUCUUAACACUCAGCAGCACUAGCUAAAGCAUUAUUAAUAUUAGCCCAAUUGAUGAGAUCCCAAAUUUUUGAAUUCCAAUGAAAGACGUCAAAGUCUAAAGAGGGAGGGCGUAGGAUAAUACCAAUAAACCUCAAGAAUACCCUUCGGGGUGGGUGGUUUUCAUAUGCCACCAGUUGUUCUCGUCGAAAUCUUCAUCACCCCUAUCGAGAUCUACUCGGACUGUUGGUACAGGUGGCCAUUCGAUAGGACUGAUGUUCUUGUCAACGAGUCUAACACCGUAGACCGGAUCAACACAAUUUAUCCACAAAUUUAUGCGAGUUUCCCACGGAAGGAAAACUUACAUGAGAACCACAAAUGAACGUCCCUGGAAGCAAUACCCUUUGGGACUCACUUGCAAGUGCAACUCCUUGAGGCAUUGAGCAAGCAUAGUCAAUUCAUCUUCUUCCUCGAUUCUUCCAUGACCGUCGAAGAAUAUAAGCCGAUUAUAUGACAUCUCACCGUCGUGGCUUGUUUGAAUGGUGGCAACUUUCUUCCAGUGAAUCUUUUUUAUGGAAGGAAUGUUAACGGUGAGGUUGAUUAACUCGUAGAUUUGGAGGUUGGCUCCGUCUGAGGAUGCAACAAAGUGGUUGUUAGACUUGAAAUCGAACAGAGCCAUUUUUUGUAAGGGAGGGAAGCUUAGAGAAGCAGAGGAUUAUGGGAUUUGAAGAUAGCUUGCUAUGGUUUACACAAGUGAUUCAUCUGCAAGCCCGUUAUGUGCAAAUCCAGUAAUCAUUGAAUUCCAGGACACAACAUCCUUCAUUACCAUUCCGUCGAACAAUCUCUUGGAAGAUCCCAUAUCGCCUGCUUACUUUUAUACAAACGUGCUAGAUCAGCACAUGCACUAAGAAGAGUUACAAACGUAAAACCACUCGGCUCAACUCCAUCCUCCAACAUUUGCUUAAAGAUAUCCAUUGUUCUUUCACUCUGGCCAUUUUGUGCGAAACCAGCCAUCAAGCUAGUCCAAGCAACAGUGUUCCUAUAUCGCAUCUGUUUAAAGAGACCAAUAGCAUCAUCCAGUAUGGAUGCUCGAGUACAGGCAGCCACCAUCAACGUCCGGGACAGAAUAUCCCUUUCAUUCAUCCUGCUAAAUACACGGAAACUAACAGCAGGUUCCUAGACGCUAGACCCCCAACUCCAAACCUUACCUAGACCCCAAUAACUAUACGUAACGUACCCUAAACCUCAGUGUCGAAUUACAGCUAUAAUUAGAAUAUGAUUAGGUGUAGAAAUUAGAGUAAGUUAGCUGUAUUAUUUAAUCUUCUAGUCUAUUCUAUGCAGAAUAUUAGUAGUAAGUAGUAGGAGAAUAAUCCCUGAUUUAUAGGGAUUACAAUAAGGGGGUUCUGCACCCUAACAGUGCAGACCGUGUAUAUAUGUAUAAUCAACAACAUAGCAAUAGAAUUAUCAUACCAGAAUCAUUUCUAUUCUGGAUUCUACAUGGUAUCAGAGCGAGGGUGCAUCCAGAUCUAAACCCCAUUCGUUCACUAAACUUCUGUCUCCAUCUCUGUCUCUAUUUCUCUCAUCCUCACGUCAUGACUAACACCAACGCUGAAGCCCCUCGAGCUGGCAGCUCACCACCACAGUCACCAUCCAUCACUGAAGCGCACAACUCCAGCAGCCUUAUCAGAAUCAGUCCUAGGCUGUAUCACGAAUCACAAGCUCAACGGAGACAACUACCUAUAGUGGUCGCCCUCUGUUCUGAAGUUCAUCUCAGGGAAAGGAAAGAGAGGAUACCUGACUGGAAAGACAAAGCAGCCAGCAGAAGAGGAUCCGGAGUUCACCAACUGGGACAUUGAAGAUAAUAUGGUUCAGUCGUGGCUCCUGAACUCAAUGACCACGUCCAUUGGUGAGAAAUUUCUUCUCCACCAAACUGCUCACGAGAUCUGGGAGGGAGCCAGACAUACAUAUGCCAAUUAGGCCAACAAAGCUGAGGCCUUCGAAGUGGAGAUGCGUCUCCAUGAUCUCAAGCAGGGGGACAAAUCAGUUACUUAGUACUACGAUGAACUGAGCAAGUGCUGGCUGCAACAGGAUCUGUACGACGUCCACCUAUGGAAGUGUACGGAGGAUGCAGAACUCUACAGGCAGAUCCUCCAGACAAAGCGGACCAUCCGCUUCCUCCUUGGUCUAAAUCAGGCCCUAGAUGAGGUCAAGGGUAGGAUUAUGGGUCGUCUUCCCCUUCCUUCAGUUAGGGAGGCGUUUGCUGAAAUCAAGUGGGAAGAGAGCAGAAGAAGGCUCAUGAUCCCUGACUCCAAGAACACCCCAAUGGAGGGUUCUGCCCUUGCCACUCAGUAUGCUAAGAAGGCAUUUGCAGGUCCCUCUGAACCUCACCACAGCCUGUUUGCUAGCCAAGGUAUUAAAUCUGCGGCUCUCCUUACUCUUAAAUCAAUUCAAACAAUACUGGAUAUUGGAUUCUGGUGCUACUGAACACAUGACUGGUUCUAGACAGCUGCUCCACAAUAUCCAGCUUCAUGUAGGGAGAGCAGGAGUUCGUAUUGCGGAUGGAACCAUUGCUCCAGUCGAAGGAAUUGGGACAGCCUACUUGACCCCAAAUCAGGUUGUAUUCCUUGUUCUAUAUGUUCCAAAGUUGACUUGCAACCUGAUUUCUGUUAGUCAAAUCACACAAGACUUUAACUGUCGACUAACUUGCGAUCCAUCACAAUGUGUAUUGUACAUGUGGGAUCUCAGAGGAUGAUUGGCAGGUUUGAACUGUGUGAUGGACUGUUCCUUCGAAGGACAAUAAGCGAAGUAGGACCAGGAGGAGAGGGUUCCAAGUCAGUCCAUCUAAGUUCUAGGUCAAGCCAGUUAGAAUGUCCUGUCAUGAUGUGACAUUACCGGUUAGGCCACUCUAGUUUCUCUUAUCUUAAAAAAUUGUUUCCUAAACUGUUUAUCAAUAAAAAUCUGAGUUCUUUUUACUGUGAGGUCUGUCAGCUUGCAAAGUAAAUAUGAGUUGUUUAUCAUAGCCUUCCAUAUAAGCCAACACACCCAUUUUCCAUCAUUCACAGCGACAUUUGGGGUCCAUGUUCUAUAAAAACAGUCAGCGGGUUUCGAUGGUUCAUCACCUUUAUUGAUGAUCACACCCGCUUAACAUGGACAUACCUCAUGAAAUCAAAAACUGAAACUAAAGAAAUCUUCCUAACUUUCCUAAAUCAGGUCAAAACUGUUGGACCAUUACUAAAGCGACGUCGUUUGACGUUGCUAUUAAAUAUUAGACCGUUAGUUAAACUACAGCGUUUUGAGAAGAACUUUCUAGUUGUUGCAUUUCAGUCACUUUAGUCUUAGAAUAAUGACAUUUUAGUCCUCUGUGUUAGUCUGUUGAAGAGCUGCUAUUUUUCAGGUGCUUAAGGAUGGAUCAUGGCUGUUUGUUGCCAGAUCCUCCUGAUCUUCAGGCUCUAUCUGCUGUACUUAUUGUGAGUGAUGUUCAUCUUAAUUGAAUGUCAGUUUGCACAAGUUCUUAUCGUUACAUUGUGGUAUCAGAGCACCUAAAGCAAACUGUAACCAAAUAGAGUGAAAUCAAGAGAGGCUUAGAGAAGAAGUGAUUACCAGAAGGAUGAGUGAGGCUAGUAGCUUUGCACAAGUGUGCAUAUCAAGAUUUGAUGGUGAUUUCGAUCACUGGAGCUUGCUGAUGGAGAAUCUACUCCGUUCAAAGGAGUAUUGGAAGGUAGUCGGCGAAGGGUUCAGAUCAGGCUGAAGGAAAGGCUGUAUCUGAAGUUGAGACCAAAAACCUGGAGGAUUUAAGGUUAAAAGACCUGAAGGCGAAGAACUAUUUGUUCAGUUCGAUUGACAAAACCAUACUGAAGACCAUCACCAACAAAGACACAGCUAAGGAACUAUGGGAUGCCAUGAAGACCAAGUUCCAAGGCAGUGUUAGAGUUCAAAAAUCUCAGCUGCAGGCCUUGAGAAGGAGUUUUGAACUACUGGAGAUGCAGGGAGGUGAGACUGUGACGGAUUACUUUGGCAGGGUGAUGGUGGUGGCUAACUCAAUGAGGAGUUAUGGGGAGAAUCUGACUGAUGCUCAGAUUGUGAAGAAGAUACUGAGAACGUUGACUGAGCAGUUCAAUUACGUGGUGUGUGCAAUAGAGGAGUCAAAGGACAUUGAGCUCCUGUCAGUUGAUGCACUCCAGAGCUCGUUGCUAGUGCAUGAACAAAAGUUUGUGAAGAGGUUCAAGGAAGAAGAAAAUCAUGCCCUUAGGGUGAUGCAUGAUUACGGAGGAAGAGGAGGUAGAGGAUAUGGCAGGAAUGGCUAUACUGGCGGGGUAAAGGGAAGGCUGGUAGGGGUUGGAACAAGGAGUCGGUGGAGUGUUACAAAUGUCACAAGUUGGGGCACUAUAAGAGUGAGUGUCCAGAUUGGUACUCAAACCAACAGGUUCACUACUCUUCAUACUCAAACCAGACUUCUGUGCAAGAUAGGUCUUUUGGAGACUUGACAAAAGAUGUUAUGCUGAUGGCAUCAGUCGAUCAAGAGGAGGAAUUUGAAACUCAUCACACCUGGUGGUUUUUAGAUUCUGGAUGCAGUAAUUAUAUGAGUGGAAGCAAGGACUGGUUCACCUCUUUAGAUCACAACUUUAAAUGCAGUGUGGGAACAACUGCAGACUAAAUGUGGUUGGAAGAGGCACGAUUAAAUUUUCUGUGAACCAAGUGUCCUUAGUGGUUCAGAAUGUAUUUUAUGUGCCAGGACUGAAAACCAAUCUGCUGAGUGUAGGACAACUGCAAGAAAAGGGGAUCGUGUUUACCAUCAAAGAAGGAUACUAUCAGUUGAUGCAUGAACGAAAGGGGUUGCUACUGACAACUCAGAUGAAAAUCAAUAGAAUGUUUGUAUUACACGCAGACACUAAGGAAAACCAGGAUGGCAGGGAAAGUGCUCAGUGCCUACAGGUGGAAGGAGCAUCAACUGCAUCUCUGCAGUUGUGGCAUCGCAGGUUUGGCCACUUGAACCAAGAGAGUCUGUUAAGUCUGAGCAAGGGGAAAGGAGUUCGAGACAUGCCAAGUCUUAAAGGAGAUAUUGAAGUAUGUCAAACAUGUAUGAUUGAAAAGCAGCAGAGGAAAGCUUUUCCAAAGAGGAGUAACUGGAGAGCAGAUCAAAAAUUAAAACUACUUCAUGCUGAUCUGUAUGGGCCAAUCACACCCUCCUCGAAUGAAGGGAGGAGGUAUAUAUUUACUGUUAUUGAUGAUUACAGUAGAAAGUUAUGGGUUUUCUUUAUGAAAAAUAAAUCAGAAACCUUUGAGAUUUUUAAAAGAUUUAAGGCUCAAGUAGAGAAGGAGACUGGACUAUCCAUUGUGUCUCAGGACUGAUAGAGGGGGCGAAUUCAUGCUUCAUGAAUUUCACAAUUUUUGUGAAGAAGCUGAAAUCAGAAGACAGCUCACAGCUGCUCUUACACCUCAGCAAAAUGGGGUGGCAGAAAGGAAAAACAAGACAGUGAUGAACAUGGUAAGGUGUAUGAUGGAAGAUAGCAAGGUUCCAUCCUUGUUCUGGCCAGAAGCAGUUGCUUGGACUGCGCACGUACUCAAUCGCAGUCCAACCUCAGCAAAAAAAGGAAAAACACCUCAAGAAUCUGGACAGGGACACCACCAUCAGUGUCCCAUUUGAGGGUAUUUGGCUGCCUGGCGCAUGUUCAUAUACCUGAUCAGCAUAAGAAGAAGCUUGACAGCAAGAGUGUAGCAUGCCAGUUCCUAAGCAUUUCUAUGGAAUCAAAGGCCUACAAGCUCUAUAGUCCUGCUAUCAAGAAGGUGAUAACUAGCAGAGAUGUGAUUUUUGAUGAGACUAAAGGCUGGCACUGGGAGAAGGAUAUUCAACCAGUCCUCACAGAUAUACUGUGGGAAGGAAAGGGGGAUGAUCUAUACAACAGUGAUGAGGAAGAAACACAGGAGGACCUGCAGGAGAGCACACAGGAACCAGAGGAGGAUACUCCUCACACGCCUGCAGGAUCUCAGGCCUCAAGGAGUUCAACUCGACAGGUUGAGGGAGAGGGCAUUGGUCAAAGGGUUAGGAGGCCUCCACCAUACUUAAGUGAGUAUGACUGCAAUUGGACAACUACUGAUUGGUGUGUUAUGGUGGCAGUCUCUGAGGAUCCACAAACGUAUGAGGCAGCUGCUCAAGAUCCUAAGUGGAGUGCAGCUAUGCAGGUAGAGAUGGAAGCCAUACACAGAAACUGUACCUGGAAAUUAGUCCCUUGCCCUGCGAGUGUUGUUCCUCUUAGCCUUAAAUGGGUCUAUAGAACCAAACUCAAAGAAGAUGGAUCAAUAGACAAGUACAAGGCCAGGCUGGUAGCAAAAAGGUACUCUCAGCAGUAUGGCAUUGAUUACACAGAGGUCUUUGCUCGCUGGGACACUAUCAGGAUCCUAUUGGCGUAUGCUGCAUAUCAUGGUUUCACUGUGUAUCAGCUAGACGUCAAGAGUACUUUUUUAUAUGGAGAAUUAACUGAGGAAGUCUUUGUUGAGCAACCUCAAGGGUUUGAGGUUGCUGGGGAGGAAACUAAGGUGUACAGGCUACAAAAGGCUCUUUAUGGACUGAAACAAGCUCCAAGAACUUGGUACAGUCGGAUUGAAGCCUACUUUCUGGAUGCAGGGUUCAAGAGAAACAAUCAUGAUUACACCUUAUUCAUCAAGAAGGUAGGGGAGGAGAUUCUGAUAGUUAGCCUAUAUGUGGAUGACCUGAUGUACGUGAGCAACAGCAAGCAACUCAUUGAGGAGUUUAAGGGAUCAAUGAAGGCUGAGUUUGAGAUGACUGAUCUAGGCAAGAUGAGAUUCUUUCUAGGAGUUGAAAUCACUCAGAUAGAUGAUGACAUAUUCAUUGGACAGCAGAAAUAUGCAGGAGAGAUUCUAAAGAAGUUCAAACUGAAAGAGUGCAAUAUGGUGAGGAAUCCCAUGGUUCCUAGGACAAAACUCUCAAAGGCUGGAGAUGGAGUACCUGUCAGUCCUACAGACUAUAAGCAGUUGAUAGGGAGCCUGCUGUACAUGACAGCAACUAGACCUGACAUAAUGUACUCAGUAUGCACUCUUAGCAGGUAUAUGGAGGCCCCAACCAAACAACACAUGUUUGCUGCCAAGCGAGUGAUGAGGUAUUUGAAAGGAACUCUGAGCUUUGGCAUUUACUAUAACAAAAGGGAGGAAGAGCAGAGCUUAGUAGGAUAUACUGACAGUGACUAUGCUCACAGUAGCUCUUGCCCUUAUACUCCUCAGCAGAACGGGAUUGCAGAACGCAAAAACCGUCACCUGCUGAAAGUUGCAAGAGCAUCACUGUUUGCUGCCAAGGCUCCAAAGAAUUUGUGGGCUGAUGCUGUCCUCACAGCUACCUACCUUAUCAACCGUCUCCCAAAUCGAACCCUACGUUUUAAAACUCCUCGUAGCGUUCUUCUCAAAAUUUUCCCUCAGUCAUGCUCUAUCUUCCAAUCUUCCCCUUAGAGUUUUUGGAUGUACAUCAUUCGUCUAUUUAGAUUCAUCCCUUCAUACCAAACUAGAUCCUAGAGUAGUAAAAUGUGUCUUCCUUGGAUAUUCUCCUCAUCAUAGUGGUUACAAGUGUUACUCUCCAAGUAACCACAAAGUCCAUCACUCAAAAAAUAUCACGUUCUUCGAAAAUCGUCCUUUCUACUCCCACUGUCAACCUCAGGGGGAGAAUCCUACUAGUGAGUCCAUAUCUGUUGAGUCCUCCAUUGGAAGUAUUAUUACCCUAGAAACUCCAGUGGGUCUAGAGCCUCCUAAGGUUGUCCAACCCUCUCCCACAUAACAAAACAACCAAAUUCCUCUUCUCCUGGUUUAUCAACGUCGGAAGAAGGCGGCAGUGAACACAUAUGCUCAGCCUGACCAGGAAUUUGAUGAGACCACAGCCUCCCAAGAAGGCGAGUUAGAACAAAUGGACCAGGGGGUUGAUCAUGGUGAUGUGGUCGGGAAUCAUGACCAGACAGAGGACAUUCAGGCUGUUGGUACAGAGGAGACUCAGGAAGAUGAUACAGUCUACCUCCCAAUUACACACAGGAAAGGAACUAGAUCGUGUACAACUCACCUAUUGAGAGAUGGGUUUCAUAUGGUAAUCUAAGCCAGAGAUACAAGGCUUUUGUGGGGACACUCGACGACACACAGAUUUCUCACUCCAUUGAAGAAGCUAUGAGUAUUCCUCACUGGAGGGCAGGAGUAUUGGAAGAAAUAAGUGCACUCCUGAAGAAUAAGACUUGAGAUACAGUAAGGCUGUCAAAAGGAAAAUCCACAGUUGAUUGUAAGUGAAUUUUCAUAGUGAAGUAUACCUCAGAAGGCAAGAUUGAGAGAUAUAAAGCUCGUCUUGUAGCCAGAGGAUUCACACAGUGCUAUGGAGUGGACUACGAGGAGACUUUUGCUCCUGUAGCCAAGCUGAAAACUGUGAGGAUUCUUCUAAACAUUGCAGUAAAUCUAGAUUGGCCUCUAUACCAACUAGAUGUGAAGAAUGCUUUCCUAAACGGGGCUCUGAAUGAGGAAGCGUAUAUGAAUGUCCUGACAGGCGCCACCACAGAACCGGGAAUGGUGUGCAGACUGAAGAAGGCACUGUAUGGCCUAAAGCAGUCACCACGAGCAUGGUUUGAGAGGUUCUCUCAGUCCCUGAAGGGAUACAGAUAUUAUCAGUGUCAAACUGAUCAUACGAUGUUUAUAAAACAAAAUCAGGAAGGAAGAAAGGCCAUUCUCAUUGUAUAUGUUAAUGACAUUAUCAUCACAGAGGAUGAUGAAACGGAAAUCAAACAGCUCAAGGAGAAAUUAGCACUUGAAUUCGAGAUAAAAGACCUAGGAAAUUUGAGGUAUUUUCUAGGUAUUGAAGUGGCACGAUCUAGUAAGGGACUGAGUUUAUCCCAACGAAAAUACGUCCUAGACUUGUUAAAGGAGACUGGGAUGAUUGGGUGCAAACCUGCGAGCACACCAAUGGAGCACAACUUGAAGUUUGUUCUUGGCCAAGAAGCAGCGCCAGUAGAGAGGGGGAGUUACCAAAAACUGGUAGGAAAGCUAAUAUAUUUAGCACACACACGUCCAGACAUCUCAUUUUCAGUGAGCAUCAUGAACCAACAUAUGCACAAUCCAAAUGAAGAGCAUAUGAAGGCAGUGAUGAGGAUUUUGAGAUAUUUAAAGAGCACAACAGGUGUUGGAUUGCUGAUCCAAAAACACGCUGGGCGCAGAAUUUUGAUUUAUACGGAUGCAAGUUGGGCUGGAGACCUUACAGAUCGAAGAUGUUGAGCGUAUUGUACCUAUGUGAGGGGGAACUUAGUGACCUGGGAGUAAGAAACAAACUGUUGUCUCACGGAACAGUGCUGAAGCAGAGUACAGGGCACUGGCAGACAGAAUUUAUGAAGGAGUUUGGUUAAGGCGCAUCUUAAGGAAACUCAAGAUGAAGGAUGAAGGUCUUAUUAGAGUGCUGUGUGAUGAUAGUCAGGCAGCACUAAUUAUUGUGAAGAAUCCAGUUCAUCAUGAUCGUACUAAAGAUGUUGAACUGGAUCGUCACUUCAUUUCUGAGAAAGUUAACAACAAAGAAUUCGAGAUGGAGUACGUUCCAUCUAAGCAGCAGAUUGUAGAUAUUCUUACUAAGGCUCUACCUAGAGAUAUGUUUGAUGAUCUAUAAGGCAAGCUUGCCCUCAAUAACAUUUCCAGCCAAGCUUAGGGGGAGUGUCGAAUUACAACUAUAAUUAGAAUAUGAUUAGGUGUAGAAAUUAGAAUAAGUUAGCUGUAUUAUUUGAUCUUCUAAUCUAUUCUACGCAGAAUAUUAGUAGUAAGUAAUAGGAGAAUAAUACCUAUUUAUAGGAAUUACAAUAAAGGGGUUCUGCACCCUAACAAUGCAGACCGUGUAUAUAUGUAUAACCAACAACAUAGCAAUAGAAUUAUCAUACCAGAAUCAUUUCUAUUCCGGAUUCUACACUCAGUACCUAGACCACACUACCUAGUCUCUAGUGCCCAUACCCUAGACCAAGUUGAAACAGCUCCAUAUUUUCAUCAACUCGCAAGUAGCCAUGAGAAGAAGGAAGAAUGAGUUAUUUUUAUCAUAGAAAAGAAAUGAAAUGAAAAGAAAAGCAGAAGAAUGAUGCUGCAAAAUGAUAUCAAAAGCUUUACCAACGCAGGUCAGCAGUUAGAAGACCAACAUAGUAAGCAGGAAGCACAGAGUAGCGAAGAGUAAAAGACCCUCUAAGGAAACGUACAGACUACAGAAAAAUAAUACCAUGAAUACGAAAAAUGAGAAGUGGCAGAGGUGAAUUACCAGGGGUGAGUUUAAUUAUGGGGUUUCAUACUUUGACAAGUUGUUGUUUCCCUUGUGUAGUUGGAGCUUGUGUGUUAUCAAUGCACUACUUUCUCCUUCAUUUGAGUCUUCCACUUAGCCCUGCAAAUGCAAUGAAACUCGGGAUCAUUCACCAUUUCCAUCUUAUAUGAAACACAAUAAAGAAUAAAUACAACAUCAACGUUUUAGUUUAUCAUACCUUCUGAUCAGAUACAUGGUUUCUGCCUUUCUGCACUGAUCCUUUAUUCUUCUACCUGAAUGUUCACCCUAGACGCUACACCCUGGCAACUAGUACAUAAAUUACCCUUAACCCCAAUACCUGCCCAGUAAGUUACAAAAGCAGGUCAGCAGUUAGAAGACCAACAUAGUAAGCAGGAAGCACAGAGUAGCGAAGAGUAAAAGACCCUCUAAGGAAACGUACAGACUACAGAAAAAUAAUACCAUGAAUACGAAAAAUGAGAAGUGGCAGAGGUGAAUUACCAGGGAUGAGUUGAAUUUUGGGGUUUCAUACGUUGACAAGUUGUUGUUUCCCUUGUGCAGUUGGAGCUUGUGUGUUAUCAAUGCACUACUUUCUCCUUCAUUUGAGUCUUCCACUUAGCCCUGCAAAUGCAAUGAAACUCGGGAUCAUCCACCAUUUCCAUCUUAUAUGAAACACAAUAAAGAAUAAAUACAACAUCAACGUUUUAGUUUAUCAUACCUUCUGAUCAGAUACAUGGUUUCUGCCUUUCUGCACUGAUCCUUUAUUCUUCUACCUGAAUGUUCACCCUAGACGCUACACCCUGGCAACUAGUACAUAAAUUACCCUUAACCCCAAUACCUGCCCAGUAAGUUACAAAAGCAGGUCAGCAGUUAGAAGACCAACAUAGUAAGGAGGAAGCACACAGUAGCGAAGAGUAAAAGACCUACAAACUACAACGGAAAAAAUACCAUCAGAAGAAUAGGAAGAAUGACAAGUGGCAGAGGUGAAUUACCAGGGACGAGUUUGAUUUUGGGACUUCCAUAGCUUUGACAAGAUGAUGUUUCCCCUAUAAAGUUGCAGCUUGUGUGUUAUCAAUGCAUGCACCACUAUCAUCUGCAACAUGUCCACAAGUAUUGAAGAGAAGGACGGGGGAAACAGGAAAGAUAUCACUGAAAUUCUUAUGAAGACCAACAUAGUAAGGAGGAAGCACACAGUAGCGAAGAGUAAAAGACCUACAAACUACAACGGAAAAAAUACCAUCAGAAGAAUAGGAAGAAUGACAAGUGGCAGAGGUGAAUUACCAGGGACGAGUUUGAUUUUGGGACUUCCAUAGCUUUGACAAGAUGAUGUUUCCCCUAUAAAGUUGCAGCUUGUGUGUUAUCAAUGCAUGCACCACUAUCAUCUGCAACAUGUCCACAAGUAUUGAAGAGAAGGACGGGGGAAACAGGAAAGAUAUCACUGAAAUUCUUAUGAAGACCAACAUAGUAAGGAGGAAGCACACAGUAGCGAAGAGUAAAAGACCUACAAACUACAACGGAAAAAAUACCAUCAGAAGAAUAGGAAGAAUGACAAGUGGCAGAGGUGAAUUACCAGGGAUGAGUUGAAUUUUGGGGUUUCAUACGUUGACAAGUUGUUGUUUCCCUUGUGCAGUUGGAGCUUGUGUGUUAUCAAUGCACUACUUUCUCCUUCAUUUGAGUCUUCCACUUAGCCCUGCAAAUGCAAUGAAACUCGGGAUCAUCCACCAUUUCCAUCUUAUAUGAAACACAAUAAAGAAUAAAUACAACAUCAACGUUUUAGUUUAUCAUACCUUCUGAUCAGAUACAUGGUUUCUGCCUUUCUGCACUGAUCCUUUAUUCUUCUACCUGAAUGUUCACCCUAGACGCUACACCCUGGCAACUAGUACAUAAAUUACCCUUAACCCCAAUACCUGCCCAGUAAGUUACAAAAGCAGGUCAGCAGUUAGAAGACCAACAUAGUAAGCAGGAAGCACAGAGUAGCGAAGAGUAAAAGACCCUCUAAGGAAACGUACAGACUACAGAAAAAUAAUACCAUGAAUACG